AUGGCAGCCGUGGACAGCAGCCGUGGAUGGCAGCAGGCUCCUCCUGCUGGGAGGAGCGCGGCGGCGGCCCCCAGGUCCCCGGGACUCCUACCCCGCCGAGGCCCCGGCCCCGGGCGGGCGCCCGCUCCCUCCGCCCCGCCCCGCGCACCCUCUGGGUCUCGGGAGGCGCCGGCCUGGCCCAGGGGCGUCCCCGUCCCCGUCCCCGGCCUCCGCCCGCCGGCUCCGCGGGGCGGCCAGCAGGAGGGACGCCGGGAGCCCGCGGCCCAGGCGGCUCUCCCCCCCGAGCGCCCCAGCGAGCCACUGGCUUCCCCGGCCCGGGGCCCCUCUGCGCGCGACUCGCCCCUGCGGCUCCCGCCUCGGCCACGCGUGAGGGCAGUGGGGGGACGGACAGACCCCUCGGCACCACCUACGUCCCUCCCGGGGGGCUCGGCCAGCCGCGCCCCCGCUCCCAUGCCGAAAAGAAGGCAUCAGAAUGGCAAAACAAGCGGCGUCAUCCCCAAACUCGAGCAGCCCGAGCCCGCCGCGCCCCGCGCCCGACAGGAAGCCCCCGUCCCUCCCCACGGUCAAGGUCUGCCCCCACCAACCCGGCCCCACGGCACGGGCUCUCGCUCUCGGUCACCGCGGCCCCCCGUGGCCCCCAGCUCUCAGGUCCUCUGCCCCCGCCCCCGCCCCCGCUGGGCAUGUGAAGGCGACAAGGCUGUUUACCUGCCUCCGGAGGACGGGAGCAGCCCGCAGCGCCGCAGCUGUCAGCGACUGGCGCCGAGGGCCCGCGACGCGCGCGGCCGGGGAGGCGCGGCGGGGGCCGGGAGGCGGGGAGGGCGGCCGCGGCGCCGCGCGGAAGUCAGCGCGGGGACCAAUUACCACGCGGCCACGCGCACGGGCGAGCGCACCUGCGGCCGGCGGCAGGAGCUGAUGUUAAAGGAUGCUGCCAAGCAGGGCCGGGAAUCUGAGUCACAGGAAAAAACGCGUUGGGAUUCGCUUAAACACUUGCAUCAGGAGAUACCGCCUCCCUCUGUCAUCACUCCCUGA
rnacentral:lncRNA from 1 species